rnacentral:rRNA from 1 species
ACCAUGGUGACUGGGAACCUCGGGAACUGAGAAUAAUACCCGAUAGAACAUUAUGCCUGGAAUGGUUUAUGUUUCAAAUGAUUUAUCGCCAUAGGAUGGGACUGCGGCCUAUCAGUUUGUUGGUGAGGUAAUGGCCCACCAAGACUAUUACAGGUACGGGCUCUGAGAGGAGUGGCCCGGAGAUGGGUACUGAGACACGGACCCAGGCCCUAUGGGGCGCAGCAGGCGAGAAAACUUUGCAAUGUGCGAAAGCACGACAAGGUUAAUCCGAGUGGUUUCUGCUAAAGAAACCUUUUGUCAGUCCUAGAAACACUGAUGAAUAAGGGGUGGGCAAGUUCUGGUGUCAGCCGCCGCGGUAAAACCAGCACCUCAAGUGGUCAGGAUGAUUAUUGGGCCUAAAGCAUCCGUAGCUCGUUUUGUAAGUUUUCGGUUAAAUCCAUGCGCUUAACGUAUGGGCUGCCGGGAAUACUGCAUAACUAGGAAGUGGGAGAGGUAGACGGUACUCGGUAGGAAGGGGUAAAAUCCUUUGAUCUAUUGAUGACCACCUGUGGCGAAGGCGGUCUACCAGAACACGUUCGACGGUGAGGGAUGAAAGCUGGGGGAGCAAACCGGAUUAGAUACCCGGGUAGUCCCAGCUGUAAACUAUGCAAACUCAGUGAUGCAUUGGCUUGUGGCCAAUGCAGUGCUGCAGGGAAGCCGUUAAGUUUGCCGCCUGGGAAGUACGUACGCAAGUAUGAAACUUAAAGGAAUUGGCGGGGGAGCAC